UACAGAGGUCCCAAGCGUUUGUUCGGAUUUACUGGGGCGUAAAGGGUGCGUAGGCGGUGGGGUAAGUUUGAGGUGAAAGCUCCGGGCUCAACCCCGGAAACUGCCUUGAAAACUAUCCGGCUAGAGGGGUUGGAGGGGAGACUGGAAUUCUCGGUGUAGCAGUGAAAUGCGUAGAUCUCGAGAGGAACACCAGUGGCGAAGGCGGGUCUCUGGACAACACCGU
rnacentral:rRNA from 1 species